AAGGAGAGUAGUAAGACUUGUUGCAGGGAGAAGAGAAAGGGGAAGGAACUGCAUCUUGCAUUGAAAUGAAUGUCCUGUCCCUGCUUGCAAGAGUGUGAGAGACGAGAGUUACACAACGGUUACUGGAGCAUGGUUAUCAACUCCAAAUGCAGCUUCUCAGUUUGGGAAGAGGGACAGGGAGACUGGGCUAGUUUCUACUUUGACUCUUACUUGCAGGCUGAGAUGCUGCUAUGUAUUCCUGCUAGUCAAGAAGGAGAGAAUCCAAGCCUGGCUCCUACCUCCUGGCCUCCCUCCUUCCUCCGCAAUGUCUGUGGAUGGGGAAAGUGAGAGCACUUUGUGAUCCUGCUGCCUGGGCAGCUCCUUGCAGAGGUAGCAGAGCUCUCUGACAGAGGAGCUCAGCCACAAGUUCUCAGCCUACAGACACAGCUCCACCUUAGGGCUUGCCUAGGGCAGCUGCCCUUCAAGUCCGCUCAUGAAAAACCUGUGCACCACCGGCUUGGGCAAUAGCUCUGACCAUUGGCUGCUCAGUGGUGGUGCUUACAUCCCUGCUUCUCUCACUGGCAAUUCCCCACACCCUUUGGAGGAGUGUUGCCUGUCUGCACAAUGGGAAUUGCUUUGAGAUCUGGACAACUGUGCUGCCCCAGCCAGGUGGGAAGGAGAUGUGUCUGCACUCCUGGUCAGCACCAGGAUCUGCCCUCUGAUUUUUGAAGGGGAGUUGUAGUAACUUCUUCAGAUGGAAGCCUUGUGACCAGCUGAGCCUUCUCCAUUUUCACGCCAAGAAACCUGCAUUUGCAGCUCUUUAGGAAGAUAUGACCCCAACUCUUCAAGGACUGGGACACACAGCUGACAUGAGACCGCACCAACCAAAAAUCAGGUCUCAGGUUUCAUCAGCAUCAGACUGGUAUCACCCGAUGCUGGAGACUUGUUUGGCCACUGUGAGAAGCUCCUCCUACACCAGCAAGUAGCAGGAGAAGGCUGUGACACCAGCUCUAGAAAGGUCUGCUUUACCUUAGUCUGUGUAACAAGUGUAAAUGCUGAAGCUGUUGUUGGUCCUUUCCAUGCCCCAUGGGGCACGGUGAAGCACUUGUCUUCCUACUGGUGAUUAUUAUGGAUAAUUGAAUGGAGAGAAUCAUUUAACUGUACCCAGAUAAUUGACCAAGAAACUAGAAAAACUGAAAUCCUGGUAUCAGGAACCUAAUGAGGAAUUCAUAAUACAUAAAAGAAUAUUUCCUUUUUUUUUCUAUUUUUUUUUUCUUUUUGAGUGAGAGAAAAGAAUUACAGACUAACAAAAGUGCAGUAAAAGGAAAGGAUUAUGUGAAAGCUUUGAAUGGCCAGAGAGGAAACUGUUAUGAUAUGAAGCAAUUUCUAGCAUUCAAGGCAUACAGUGAACUGUUUUAAUUUUUCAACAACAAUGCCAGUUGUGCAGGCACUCAAAAACUUAAAAGCUCUUUUUAAAAUAAUAGCAUACAUUUUACAUGUACUAUAUGUACUUACUCUCUCAGAGUGCAAGUUAUUUAUCAUUCUUGUCUAAGCUAAUAGUCAUCUCUGUCUGAAUUGCAAAGUUUAAUUAACUUCUGUAGGUGUUACAAGGAAAAUUAUGCCUGGUUGAGUCUAAAAUCCAUGUUCUUGAAUGUAAGACAUUUUUAAAUUAACAUGACUGAUACACUUUUUCAAUAGCAACUUCAUGUUUUUCUGCUUUCUACAGGGCAAUAGCAUUCCAAGUUUAGACACUGUAGAAUCCACACAAAUAAUACACCUUUCUCUCAUCAAGAUGCUAUCACGAAGACUAUAGAUAACUCUAACAACUAUAACUUUUGCUCGGCUACUUAAGGCUGAUGAGUUUGAGAUGAUGUCACAAAAAGAUGGUGAAAAUUUAGUAACCUAGUGGGCAUGGUACUUGAUGGGGAAUUACAAGAUUAGAGAGCAUUUUCGGGUCUUCAUCUUGCUACCUCCACUAAAGCACGGUUUGUACAGAGUUUGAACUGAGUGAUGAAGCACAAGAAGGGGUAAAUCUCCAAAGCAAAAGGACAAAGAUGUAAUCUCUCAAUAAUGGUACUGCCCCACACCAUCAAGCUUAUUUUAGUAUCUUACUUAAUGCACAGCAUCAGGAAGCUUACCACAGUUAAAAACACCAGUAGAAAUCUAGUUCAUCCUUCUGCUCUGAGCUGAGCUGCAUAACCAAAAUUCAGGCAGAGCAACAUAUGCUUAAAGGACUCUUUGAUACACCCAGAAUUUUGUGCCAUGAUGAAAAAGAUGAGUUCUCCUCUGAUGGAGUCCAGUAUCACAGUAGAGGACCUUGGUGGAAGAGAAAUGUGAAUUGUGAGGCCUUACACUAAGCUGGAGUGGUUUUAAUAUCAUAUCACCAGCCAGUGUGCAUUUUUCACCUGUCAAAAUGACAGUAUUUUUUCUACCUGUAUGUUCAUGCUAAGACAUUAAAUUCAAGACAGCAGGAUUUGGCACUUUCACUGCAUUGGCAAUGGAUUGCCAUGGACCUAUUGUACUUUUGCUGCAGCUGCACUCAUCCUACAUCUCAGAAAAUCUGCCUUCCUACUUCUAGUAUGAGCUAAAACAUAAGAUGACUUCUCAAACGCAUGUGCUGAGUAUGUCAAUGACCCACAACUGCACGUCUGGAGGGUAGGUAAAUCUUAACUCAGGCAAAACUCAUGAAUGAUACUGAUUUAACUAUUUUUCUAGUGACAUUAAAAAAAUAAUAAAAAAAGAAAGUAGUUUUGCUAUAUGGAUCUUCUAGUGUGUUAGUAAUGAGCAUUUAUGAAUAGCACUUCCUGCUUUAGUAAUCAACUUACAUAGGAAAAGAAAAUGAGUAUAUGACAAAUCUGCAUCUUAUUUGCAUUUUUAAUAUUACAUAACUCUGAAGGUAUCAGUAGAAGCAUUUAAACUAAGGUUUUGACAACAAUCUCGUACAAAAUGCAAUGAAAAUCCUUCUGAUGUUUAACUAAAGGAGAUUGCAAGGACAUAAUUUGAGAAGUGGAGGGUGGAUUUAAAAAACAUACCUCACCCACUGCAAAAAUGCCUGAGCUGUUCUUUGCCUGUGUUUUAAAGCGCAUAUUAACAGAUCUCCAAUAACAGGAAUCUCUUGUUCUGCAAGUAGUAAGUUGUCUUGUCAUGUAGUACUUUAUCAUCAAGUAUAAGAAAAAGUCCGCUGGCUUUUUGCAUAGAUGAAUGCAUGUUUACAGAGCCUUGAUUCCGCAAGUCACGAUACUUCACCCUCGGUAUACAAACGUGCUACUGCUUGAGACAGCCAGCACCUUGCAUACUUGCAUAUAAAUUUUGCAUUGCUAAUUAAUGGUCUGGUUUUAGUGCUGUGAUACACAGAAUGAGGAUGCAGUGUGUCCUUGGUUCAGUGAGCGCUCUGGGUUAUUUUCCAGCAGCCACCAGUCACACAUCCACUGCUCCACAGUGUUGGCUUGGCUUGGUUUAGGCACCUCCGAGAGCUGUUAGGUGUCCUUGCAAACUCUUUAUGUAAUUCUAGUAAUGACUGUGGCAGACUGGAGGCUGCGGUUUAAAGAGCAAAAAUACAAUUUAGUUCCUCAACUCUUGCUGAUCUCCAGUAAGCUUUUAAGUGGAGUUUUUAGUGUAUUUUUUAGAUAUUUUAUCUUUUCUGAUCUUAGUUCUGAUCUUUGUAUUUACGUUUGGCUUAGAAAAAGAAAACAUAUGUGAUUUUUUGAAUAGCAGCAUCAAACUUGGAUAUGAGAAGGCUGGUAAAUUUCAUCCUUAAAACAAUUGGUGAUGAAAUCUUGGCUCUGUUUAAAUCUGGCAACAUUCCAGUAAUUUCAGGUGAAGCUGUUCACCUUUACUAAAUACUUUACAUCCUAAGGGCUCUCUCUGUAAGUUGUUGCGUAAACAUUAUGUAGUUAGACAAUGAAAAACAACCACUCCCAUUUGCCUUUAGAAAAGGAAAAAUCUUCACCUGAGGUAAAGUCUUUGCUGCCAGGUUUCUGAGGGAGAAGCUGACAGAGGUAAUCCAGCAGUGAUGGAAUAUUUGGGGAUUAAUUAGACGUGGCCUAGAUACACACGAGAGAGUAUCAGAGCUGACCUAAAUGUUGGGAAGAACAGUGCCUCUAUCUCCUGCUUUCUUCUAAUCAGCCCUGACACCAAAGACUUUGCAGGGCAAGUUUGGAGAAACUGUUUGGAUAUAAACCCGAAAGAGAGGCAAAUUGUUACACUCAUUUUCAGUCAUAUUCUAAGUCUGCUUAUUUAAAUCAAAAAUGUUCUGAAGACAUGUUCGCUUCCUGUAUCUUGGAGGUUAGUAAGAAGUCAUCCAGGUUUUUGAAGAAGUUAGCCAACAGUCUACAAAAGUCCUGCUGUAAAUCACCAUGCUUUAAUUGAAUAUGAAGUUUUCCUAUCAUUUUGUCCCAAAGCACCAUUUGCAGGGAAAAAGUAAAAACAUUUAAUUACACAGAUGUUGUGUUCAUUUUGAAAUAUAUACAAAUGUCAGAGUUGUUGAUAGUAAAUCAGGAACGAAAUAAACUUCACUUCGGCCUGAGGUUUACACGAGCAGCUUUCAUUACUCAAAGAAUCAGUGACUGGGAAUAAGAGUAAAUCAGUGAUUCUUCAGUUUAAUUUGAAAUAAUGUAAAUUGGAUUCGUCUUCUGCUCUAUAAAUAUGCUU